GCCGGGCAUGGUGAUGCAGGCCUGUAAUCCCAGAGACUCAGGAGGCUGAGACAGGAGGAUCAUGAGUUCAAAGUCAGCCUCAGUAAAAGAGAGGCACUAAGCAACUCAGUGAGACCCUGUCUCUA
rnacentral:sRNA from 1 species